UACGUAGGGUGCAAGCGUUGUCCGGAAUUAUUGGGCGUAAAGAGCUCGUAGGCGGUCUGUCGCGUCUGCUGUGAAAACUCAGGGCUUAACCCUGAGCUUGCAGUGGGUACGGGCAGACUAGAGUGCGGUAGGGGAGACUGGAAUUCCUGGUGUAGCGGUGAAAUGCGCAGAUAUCAGGAGGAACACCGGUGGCGAAGGCGGGGUCUCUGGGCCGUAACUGACGCUGGAGGAGCGAAAGCAUGGGGAGCGAACAGG
rnacentral:rRNA from 1 species